AUGUGGUUUAAUUCGAUGAUACGCGAGGAACCUUACCUGGGCUCAAAUGUAUGUUGACGUAUUCUGAAAGGGAUACUUCUUCGGACAAUAUACAAGGUGCUGCAUGGUUGUCGUCAGCUCGUGCCGUGAGGUGUCGGGUUAAGUCCCAUAACGAGCGCAACCCCUAUCAUUAGUUGCCAUCAGGUCAAGCUGGGGACUCUAAUGAAACUGCCUACGCAAGUAGUGAGGAAGGUGGGAUGACGUCAAAUCAGCACGGCCCUUACGUCCAGGGCUACACACGUGCUACAAUGGCCGGUACAAAGGGCAGCUACCUGGUGACAGGAUGCUAAUCUCAAAAGCCGGUCUCAGUUCGGAUCGGAGUCUGCAACCCGACUCCGUGAAGCUGGAAUCGCUAGCAAUCGCGCAUCAGCCAUGGCGCGGUGAAUACGUUCCCGGGCCUU
rnacentral:rRNA from 1 species